rnacentral:rRNA from 1 species
UGGGGAAUCUUGGACAAUGGGGGCAACCCUGAUCCAGCCAUGCCGCGUGAGUGAUGAAGGCCUUAGGGUCGUAAAGCUCUUUCGCCUGUGAAGAUAAUGACGGUAGCAGGUAAAGAAACCCCGGCUAACUUCGUGCCAGCAGCCGCGGUAAUACGAAGGGGGCUAGCGUUGUUCGGAUUUACUGGGCGUAAAGAGUUCGUAGGCGGACUAGCAAGUUAGAGGUGAAAUCCCAGGGCUCAACCUUGGAACUGCCUUUAAAACUGCUAGUCUAGAGACCGGAAGAGGUUAGGGGAAUACCUAGUGUAGAGGUGAAAUUCGUAGAUAUUAGGUGGAACACCAGUGGCGAAGGCGGCUCACUGGCUCGAUACUGACGCUGAGGUGCGAAAGUGUGGGGAGCAAACAGGAUUAGAUACCCUGGUAGUCCACACCGUAAACGAUGAAUGCCAGUCGUCGGGUAGCAUGCUAUUCGGUGACACACCUAACGGAUUAAGCA